GGAUGUGAGGGCGAUCUGGCUGCGACAUCUGUCACCCCACUGAAAGGCCGGGGUUGAUUGGCUGAUCUGGCUGGCUAGGCGGGUGUCCCCUUCCUCCCUCACCGCUGCAUGUGCAUCCCUCCCAAGCUGCGCGCUUGGUCAAAGAGGACGGACCAUCCCGGAUAGAUGAGGACCGUUCUUUGGUCAAGGGUAUACGAAGCUGCAUUCCCUUGCUAGAACCUCCAUACAAGCUCUCAAGAUAGUGAGACACAGCAACGGGAAUUUAGAAACUAUAACUUCACUGAGAGAUAGUUAAACAAAAAUAUAAAAUAUAUAAAAUAUCUUUUUUGUUU
rnacentral:snRNA from 1 species